UUGAUGUAUUCGGGUCCAGCCUAUUGGAGCAUGGCAGACCACCUGAGAGUGUUUUCUGGACUCUGGGAGGUCACCUGACACCGCUGCUCCGGAGAAGGUGCACAGCACUGGAUUUCACAUGAAAGAAUGUCCUGCUGGUUUGGAAUGACACAUGGGAGGUCUCUCGAGGUCCCCGUCCAGGACAAUGAUGUAUUUAAGUCCCCUAAGAGGUCAGAUGGACUCUGUCCAGAACAUCACCUGCAAUCAAUAGUGUUGGUAAACCAGGCUCAACUGAGUGGCCAUGAAGACUCCCCUUAUAAACACGCUCACAGAGAGGCCGGCAUGGCCCAUUGCUUUGCUAAAACCGCAACCAGCAUCCUCCUGACACACACACAUAACACAUGCCACCACUCUGAAAACAAGUGUUGAUGACAGAGAGAAGAAAAAUAACAGCAAC